CCGGGAAGAGCUCAAAUUUGAAAUCUGGCGUCCUCAGGGCGUCCGAGUUGUAAUCUAUAGAGGCGUUUUCCGUGCCGGACCGUGUCCAAGUUCCUUGGAACAGGAUAUCAAAGAGGGUGACAAUCCCGUACUUGACACGACGACCGGUGCUCUGUGAUACGUCUUCUACGAGUCGAGUUGUUUGGGAAUGCAGCUCAAAAUGGGUGGUGAGUUCCAUCUAAAGCUAAAUAUUGGCGAGAGACCGAUAGCGAACAAGUACCGUGAGGGAAAGAUGAAAAGCACUUUGGAAAGAGAGUUAAACAGUACGUGAAAUUGUUGAAAGGGAAACGAUUGAAGUCAGUCGUGACCGAGAGGCUCAGCCGGUUCUGCCGGUGUAUUCCCCUCGGUCGGGUCAACAUCAGUUUUGUCCGGUGGAUAAGGGCGGUAGGAAGGUGGCACCCUCGGGUGUGUUAUAGCCUGCCGUCGCAUACAUCGGGUGAGACUGAGGAACGCAGCUCGCCUUUAUGGCCGGGGUUCGCCCACGUCCGAGCUUAGGAUGUUGACAUAAUGGCUUUAAACGACCCGUCUUGAA
rnacentral:rRNA from 1 species